AUGGUGACGCUUCUCACUCACGUGUGAAGUAGAGACAGGGUUUCACCAUGUUGGCCAGGCCGGUCUCAAACUCCUGAGCUCCACCUUACUGGCUAACGCUGCUCUCCCUGAGCCUCGAUGUUGAAGUGUCCAGGUCAGCGGUUCACAUUCAUUGUUCAUCCGUCACCACCGUCCAUCUCCAGAACCUUUUCAUCUUCCCCAACGGCUGCUCUGUGCCCAUGAAACACUCCCUCCUCAUCCUCCUGCCCCUGGCACCCCCAUUCUACUUUCUGUCCCCAUAAGUUUGACUGCCCUGGGGACCUCAUACAAGUGGAAUCAGACAGUGUUUGUCCCCUUGUGCCUGGCAUGUCGUAUGUUGCAGAUUUUUUUAUGGUGAAAAGAUAUACAUAUAUUUAGAAUUAGCCAGCCGGA
rnacentral:lncRNA from 10 species